GCCGCUGUAGCUCAGUUGGUAGAGCGGCGCUUUCGUAAAGCGUAGGUCAGCGGUUCAAAUCCGCUCAGCGGCU
rnacentral:tRNA from 1 species